rnacentral:rRNA from 1 species
CAUGCAGGCGGUCGGACGCGUUUUGUGUGACAGCGGGUGGCUCAACUACCCGAGCAUGCGAAAGACGGUUGGACUUGAGGGCUCGAGAGGGACACGGAAUUCCGGGUGGAGUGGUGAAAUGCGUAGAGAUCCGGAGGAACACCGAAGGCGAAGGCAGUGUCCUGGCGAGUGACUGACGCUGAGGUGCGAAGGCCAGGGGAGCGAACG